UUUUGCCUUGCAGUGCACGGCCACCCGCACUCGUCUUCCUCUUCCUCUUCCUCUCCCGCCCCUGCCGUGCGCCUCUCGCUCUCUUCUCCGGAGCUCGCCUCAUUCGCCGGUCGCCGGGAGCGGCCGAGGCGCCGUCGCCCAUCACCCCUCCGUCCGCCAGGUCAGUUUAUCUGCAUCGCUUGGUACUACGUACAUGGAUUGAAUGGAGCCAUGCUUGUUAGCAGCAUAUAUUUCCGUGCCAUGUUCAUGUAUGUUGUGUUGUCUGUCGCACGGCCUACCUACAUGAACAUGAUUGAUCGGCUCGAGUGACGAGUGGUUAUGUCCCGACGUGCCGCUCGCUCGCUCCUUGCUUUGGAAGGACUAGUUACAUCUGUGCUGCUGCUGCUCCUCCUCCUCCUACGAGGAUCGCACGUGCUGACUCGUUCCAGAGCAGGAUGGUGAAAGGCGGACUGUGUCUGUUCUAGAGCACGUACGUACUCUACAUGGCAGCUGCGUGCCGUAUUUCUCCUGCCUGCCUCCUCUUCUUGUUUCAGUGUGACUGAAUUUCUCGCUAGCUAGUUUCAGCCUUUCAGCCCUGCUGUUUUGGUCGGUCAUGUGCAGUCUGGAGAGAACCUCGCAUCGUUCUUCCCAUUACUUUGGGCCGGUCUUCCGCAUCUUGCCAUCAUUCAGUUAGUUCAGACUUGAGCUACAUCUUGACAGAAUGGCUGGAACUGAUAAUUUGUUCCAGUCUUGCAGAGGAGCGGCUUUCUUUUCCGUGCAUCACAAGUUCUUACUUCAGAACAAGCCCUGGCUUCCACCAACGCGAAAGUGAAAUGUUUCUUGCUUAAUUAUUUUUGGUCGAUGCUGUCUGCCUGGUACACCUAGGUACUGGUCGUUUCCAGUUUCGAUGUGCGGUUUGGCCUCCAUUUAGGCUGGUUGUAAUGGGUAGUAUCAUACACUAGUAUCAUGUGUAUGAUACUACCUCUCUAAUGCAUAGUAUUAUAUAUUAGUAUCAUGUAGUAAUUUAUUUAUUGCCAUGCAUGACACAAAAUAGUAUAGCAUUUAAUAUGAUACGGUAUCAUGAUUAUGAUACUACACCCUCUUUUUCUUCAUUUAAUGCUAUGACACCUCAUCAAAAUUGCCUAGUUGGCAUGCAUGAUACUAGCUAUGGUACUAGCAUUACGACCAGCCUUACACUCUCAGCGGAGCACUGAUAUCGGAGGACAGCAGUGACCUAGGCAUUAAUUUGAUGGCAUAUAUGCAUAGACACGGAGAGAUGAAGCAAGCAGACACAUGUGUCAUGGUUCCAACCACCUUCAUUUUGGAGCUGGAGUAUGAUCAGGAUCAGCAGGAGCAGGCAAGGGAAGGGGGCCUUUGAUAAAAGGAAGGAACCCCCAGUCAAGAAAUAUGUUGCCCCGGCGCAACAGUCCAGCUCGUAUGGCACCAGGAAGAAGAAAAAGGCCGCCGCUCUUUCGCUCGCCGAGUGUUGCACAGGAAAGAAAAUAUUCAACUACACCAGAAGGUUACAUCGAAGUGGUGAAGAUCGAGUCGAUUUAUUCAAAGGGAUAAUCACAGCACAACAUUGGAGUACACGCAACGCAACAUGCGGCCGUGUACAUAUCGGUCACAGCUUAAUUACACUCAUCACACAAGGUGCGCAACGCAGGUACACCUCCUCUGUUCUCCAGUCUCGAAAUGUCGUUUCCGCCGAGAGCAGAGGGCCUUCUCAAGGGAGGAGGAGGGAAAAUAGGUUCAAUUCUUGCGGGGAUGCUACUCUAAAUCCGUCUCAUCUCCACGGAUGGUAUACGGAGGAGACAUGAAAUAUGAUCUCCUCGCCGGCUUUUCGGGGUAUAAUUUACACAUCUCUUUCGUUUCUGCAAAAUCAAACACACCAACUGCGGUAAGCAAAUCCGCCAGGAAUUAGGAGAUAUGACGACGACCUAUGUAUAUGUAGUGGAGGAAGAGCUUCUUUACCUUAUGAUGACUCGAUCGCCGCGACCCUCACAGGCUUCGUUACUCUUACAAUGUUCCUCACAUGCUCAAACGCCAUCACUAUCAGGCCUAUGACAUAAAGAAAGCUUAGUUGCAACUUUGCAAGUAGGUUAUACACUGCUACGGCGGCGUUGCCGGCUUCGCCUGUUCGUAUCGUGAGGGUUACAGGCCUUGCAGAAAUAAGGGCACCGGUUUCUGGUGGUGGUAAAGGGGGUCAGCGUAAGAGGUGUGCCUUCCAACAUAGCCUUCCAAAGAAUUUUGCGGCGUUCAGCAGCCGGUUGUUGAGCAUACCUGAUGUGUUUUCUGGCUGGGACGACCACUCGUGCGGCGCCGUCGCCGACUUGGUGGCCUUUAUCAGGUCCAUCAGCGCGUUGUUGACCUGUCGUAGAUUCACAGUUACAUCAGUUUCUUGUGCUUUUUACAGUUGCUCGUAGACAUGAAUGAGAGGAGAAAUCAAUAAUCAUUAUCACAACUGUAUUUCUUGUUUUCUUUGGAACAUGGAGUUGAUGACACCCUAGUUGUAUCAAUAUUUCAAUCGUACGCUUUACUGUAAAUCGUAAGGCUCUCUUUGGAACAAAAAGAAGCCAUCCUAGAUGUCAAAUGGUCUGAAAAGAGUCUCCAUGGCCAGUCUGCUAAGAUGCCUUAUUGUAACUAUAUACAUCUCUGACAACUCUAUUGAAAUUAUUUGCCCGGUUUGCAAUAGUUCUGAGUAUUUUGAUGAUUCGAUCUACCCAGCUUUACUAUUUUACCAAGCUUGAUGCUUACCUCUUGUGGUCUUUCAUGGCUGACUAGAUGUGCACCAUGAAGAUCUACCAUUCUAGCAACAGGAAGAAGCCUUUGUGCAAGCCGCCUCGCAUGACAUACUUGCGCAAUAAUAUCAUGUCUGCCAUUUGUAAAGCAAGGUGUGAGCAAUACACUUGAAAAGAAAUAGGCAACACACAUUAUGCCUGCAGAUUGAAAAAUGGAUGCAUAUCAUCUUCGAUAUUUCAACUGACUAACCUUCCAUGAAUAACUGAAACUAGGAAACCGGCAGCACGUAUUGUAUCUAGCUCUUUAGUUGUCACUUUGUGAGUCCAGCAUGCGUUAAUUUGACCUUCAAACCCGCAAUUAGAUUGCAUCCCUGAAGAUGAUAUGCCUUUCACAUAUUCCUGAAAGUUCAAUGUACAAGUGGAGAUGAAAUUUCCACAACAAAAGGAGCCAAAUGUACGCAGACAAUGUUCCGAAGUGGGUACAACAAAAGCUUCCUUUCUUCCAAACAAAAGAUCCAACAGUUUAUCCCUAUGCAGUGCAUUGUCUUUAUAUUCUAAAUAGGGGAAUGCAAAAGCAUGAUGCCAAACUUCCACAAAAAGAAGGCCUAGCCAGACAUCUAUGAGAUACUUUUAACAGAAUUCUUGAAUGACCUCCUUAACGAAUUCUUGAAUGACCUCCUUAACAGGACAACCCCCAGCAAACAGCAUGAUAAGCAACAAAUAUAAUCCAAAAAAAUUGUCUGAUGCACACGGUAAAACUAGCAGGAAGAAUAAUGAAUAUUCUGUGCAAGUAUAUAUGACAUUCACCUUAUAUAGGAUCGCUCUCCUUGUGCAGGAUUCAACUUCCUCGUCGAGGUAUUCCUGCAUUUGAGUGACAUGUUACCACUGGAAACGAAAAACAUAUACAGACAAACCGGUUUGCACAUUAUUCAGGUCCUCAGAACUUCCCAAAUGAGUAAGCAGGUUGCAACAUCACAGUACCUUGGGGAAACACUCCAUCCCACCGCCGGUGACGUUCAGCAACGCCAGCGAGGACAGCCGGUGAGGCGCCAACGCCGCGAGCUUGCAGGAGAUCAUCGCACCCAUGGAGUGGCCGAAGACGUGGGCCUUCUUCCACCCCAGAUGGUCCAUCAAGGCCAGAGCGUCCCUCGCCAUGAUCGAUGUCCUGAAAGAGAAGGUCGUUCACACGGUCAGUAGAGAGAACCAUCGUUUGUUUGACUUCUCAACGCGUUUCAUGGAGGAAGAUGGCGCCCUCUGUUUCUUCCUCAGCCGCACGCGUGGUACUAUACUA
rnacentral:rRNA from 1 species